CGCACAAGCGGUGGAGCAUGUGGUUUAAUUCGAUGCAACGCGAAGAACCUUACCUACUCUUGACAUCCAGAGAACUUAGCAGAGAUGCUUUGGUGCCUUCGGGAACUCUGAGACAGGUGCUGCAUGGCUGUCGUCAGCUCGUGUUGUGAAAUGUUGGGUUAAGUCCCGCAACGAGCGCAACCCUUAUCCUUUGUUGCCAGCGGUUAGGCCGGGAACUCAAAGGAGACUGCCAGUGAUAAACUGGAGGAAGGUGGGGAUGACGUCAAGUCAUCAUGGCCCUUAC
rnacentral:rRNA from 1 species